rnacentral:tRNA from 1 species
GGUAGCUUAGAUGGUAAAGCGCUCGUUUAGAAUAAGUACAAGAGUCCUGGGUUCGAAUCCCAGUC